UUUUUGUCAAAGUUAAUCAAAAGAUUAUAAAUGUUUUUUACUCUUCGUUAAAGAAGAAGGUAAAAAUGGUUAGUGUAAACAUGAAAAGAGGUAUUUUGAAAAUGGUAUUUUUGGCAAUUUUCUUAUAUACAUACGACGGAUCAUGUGAGAUAUAUGUUCUUUAAAACUAUUAUUAGUUGUGAUUUGAUUUGUUUUAACUGGUAUUGCAUAUUUUUAUUUGAUUUCCUUCGUAGGGUUACUACAUAUAUGCGAAUUUUCAGUUCGAAUAGAAACAAAUGACAAAUCUAAUAAAAUUUUAUUGAUAUUUUUCCCAACCUUAAUAUAUGGAAUUUACUAUAGAAAUAACCACAAUUCAAUAACCCACUAGAAAUGCAAACAAAAUCAGUCAUUCACUCAACUAUAUACAUUGAAAAAUCAUUUAUAGUACAAUUCUCAUAGACGCGUGUCUGUAAUUUCAUGGAAUGAAUAUUAUUUUGGUAGAUGUCACACAAGACCAUCUAAAUGUACAAAUUUUCUACGGUUCAUUUUUUGCAUCGAUGACCAGAUACACUCACUUAAUGACAAGAUGUCUCUCAGCCAGUAAUACGGAGGCUCACUAUGACAAAUGUCUGUAAGAUAUUUUUUGAAACAACAACACAAACAUAGAGUUCCAGCCGCUCUAAACAACGAUGACUUAUUCGUACAACAAUGAAAUUUACCUAUACAGCAUAAUAAUGUUUUUUGGUCAAAUACAACAAAAUAAUGUUAUGCAAAGAAAAUAUAGAUGUCUAAAAAACAUACUUUUUUUUUUUUUUUGUAACUACCGCAUACAAUAUUUUAUUUUCUAAUUCUUAUUAAUGGUUUUCUAAAAAACAUACUUGGACAAGGUAUAAUGGAUACAAGGCAAAAUAAAAUGAGACCAAUGCUGAACACACAACUAAUAGUUACAUAGAGUGAGAGUAACCAUGUUUCCACAUACUUGAUGAUUUUAAGAUCUCAAGAGCAAGAAUUAAGUGUCAUUGCAACAACUUAUAAAACACAAAUGUGCUAAUUGCUACUAUUACAUACAAAUGAUUUUUUUUGUAUGCAUCUAAAAUCUACAUCUUCAUAUCCUCAUUUCUUACACGCACAAACUAUUUUUCUUUUACACACACAAAACAUAUCCUCAUUUAGAAGCAUACAAAAAAAUUAAGUGUCAUUGCAACAACUUAGAAAACACAAAUGUGCUAAUUGCUACUAUUACGUACAAAUGAAUUUUUUGUAUGCAUCUAAAAUGUACAUCUUCAUAUCCUCAUUUCUUACACACACAAACCAUUUCGCUUUUACACAAAACAUUUCUCUUACACACACAAAACAUAUCCUCAUUUAGAUGCAUACAAAAGAAUUAAGUGUCAUUGCAACAACUUAAAACACACAAAUGUGCUAAUUGCUUAUAUUACGUACAAAUGAUUUUUUUUUUGUAUGCAUCUAAAAUUUACAUCUUCAUAUCCUCAUUUCUUACACAUACAAACCAUUUUUCUUUUGAAAAAUUUACACUAUAAGACACAUUCUCACUUUCUAUUAACACAUACAAACACUUCUUGCUGGUGACACACUUUCUUUGAGGUCAUUGUCUCUUAUACCCUCAAAUACCACUCACAUCAUUCUUCCUUUUUUUAACUAAACCAAUUCGUCCAAUUAAACAGAUAAAUAAAAAGAUAACAAAAUACACAACUAUUUACUCUUAUCUCUCCUAUCUCGAUGUUAAAAUUCAAAAUCACUUUUCUGGUUUCUUGAACUCUUAUUGCCACGAUUUUCUUUCACCAUCUCCCUCAAGUUGAAGAAGAACAUGAAGAAAGUGAUUUUGCAGAAGCUUGUUUGAUUUCAAUUUUUCACUUUACUCUUCUUCUGCUAAUACUUUUACCUCUAUGAUUUUCCUUUUUUUCUCUGUAAAUUGCGAACCAUGGCCAAAUCGAAGUCGAAGAAGAAGGGAAAGCUUCUUAGUCAACCAACUUCACAGAAUCUUAUCAUUGAAGUACGAUGGAGUUGGCUUUCCUUUAUGUCAAAGCACAUGAAGGAGAAAAAGAGAGUGGCAAGUGACAACGAGGGUGAAUGAUGUCAAGCUGUUACUAUAUCACGGCUGGUUAUGUAUCAAAUGAAUGGAUCCAGUCACUGUUUUUUUUUCUAAAGAACAAAACUUUCAAGUUAAGGGUGAAAUAUGUUUGGACUUUAGAUGCUGGAACAUCCUUUAGGUUCAGCUUGAAGCAGUCAUUAAGUCUUACAAGUUUCUAUCAAUUUGUUAAGGUCUUUUUUAAAGGCGUCGAAUCAAGGACUGGUGCUUUGAACCUUUGUAUGAUUUGUCUACAAACUUUGUCCAAAAAAAUCGUGUCCACAAAAUUUUGUACAUAAAAUUUGUAAGAUUGAGAAUUUUGUCCAUAAAA